UGGCGUGAGUCGCGUUCAUAAUACCUCGGAAAUGGGAUGAUAGUUUUCAUAUUGCGCACACAUACUUGCGUAUAUUUGAUUUAUCUUUAUAUAAGAUGUUAACAUCUACACUUGUGCAUCUAUGGACGCGAACAUGGGACUUCGGCAGCAAGAUGAAGACCCUGCAAAGUCCAAAGAAUCCACCUUGUCUUUGCCGAAACACUCCUACUGGUUCGACUUUUGGAUUUUCGUCGUCUUUGACGUUGUGUUUUUCCUGAUUAUGUAUUUUAUAGUUCCCUAAUAUGGGCGAUGAGGGGGACCAGAGACUGAACUGCGAUUACCAGUCCUGCUCAUCGUUGUGGAAAUGCUAACCCAGCAAUCGACUGAAUCCUCACACAAUUUAAUACGAUGUCCAUAAUAGUUUCUCGUAUUCAAAGACGAAAGAUGUGCCUUUUUAAACACGUGUUUUCUUAACCAUGUCUCACUUUGUGUGGCAAUUGCCACUUCUGGAAGGACUAUUGAAUCGGAUGAUGAAUUGACAUUUCAUUUGUAAUAAAGAAAAUGUCUUUAUUUUUCUGUUUCAACUGAAACUAAAAUGUUACAAUCAUAGAUGUUACCGAUGGAAAAUAAAUCAGUGUUUGUGAAGUGUG